UGAGUAUUACUUCAGGUACUGAGUCGGUCAGGGGUCAGUACCUUAUGUGAUAUUCUUA
rnacentral:pre_miRNA from 1 species